UGACGGACAGGGACCCUCUGCAGGAAGCAACAAUGGAUAAAUUUAAACACGUCUGCAGCGUUUUAAACGAGGGGAUUAUUACACAACACACCGACUUCAGCUUCUGAAAUAGUUUCAGACUACGUCGCUGCAAUUAACAGGAAAUGGCACGAAAGAGAACGCCUCGGAGCUAAUUAAUGCAGAUCAGGGCUCAGUGUGUGAGCAACGAUGUCGAAGUAAGUCAUCAGGAUCACCGCAUUCGUUUCAGCUCCUCUCCGUCGUGAACGGGAAACGGCUCUGAUUGCUUUGCGUUUCCACGGGUGAUGAUGGAUGUCUUUGCUGAAAGCGGCGCUGAACCUGCGACGGCGCGUAAUAAGAUUCCUCAGUCGCGGUGACGACGACGACGUGCCGCUCUGACCCCGACUCUGCCGCGCCCGCGACGCGAACGUGCAGGCAAGCUCAUUUGGCACAGAUGAGUCAAGACAAACACGUGAGGGACUAGCCUGCGCAUUUGGCCAUCAUAAAAGCUGCCAGAAGAAGAGAAGCACAGCGGAGAAACCCAAAGAAUCCAGCUUAUUAUUUCUGUUAAAAAAAAA